AUGAAGCUUUUCCGGACGUCAACACCGCCAUGGGCAUCUCUCAGCCUCCGUGCAUGCCCCAGCCGACCACUCCACAGUUGUCGGUCUUCAAGUCUUCCGUCCCGCCUGGCCGCGCCGACUGUCCAUACGCCACCGCGUUGCCAACUUUCGGAUCUGUCAAAAAAGGCAGGAAUUGAAUCGUUAACAAAUAUAGAAAUAAAAGAUUGGUGUUUUUGUUUCCUUCUGCCUGGGAAUCCCAAAGGGCCACGCACUACUGUAAGUGAUUUUUUUGUUUUUUAA